UUGGAUGACCUGCCUUCGAGACGGGGACAACAGUUCGAAAGGACUGCUAAUACCCGAUGGUCCUUUCCGGAUGCGUCCGGNACGGUAAAUGGUUGAUUCCGCUCGAUGAGGGGUCCAAGUCCUAUCAGCUAGUUGGUGAGGUGACGGCUCACCAAGGCGAUGACGGGUAGCCGGACUGAGAGGUCGACCGGCCACAUGGGAACUGAGACACUGUCCUGACUCCUACGGGAGGCUGCAGUCGAGAAUCUUCUGCAAUGGGCGCAAGCCUGACAGAGCGACGCCGCGUGGAGGACGAAGGCCCUCGGGUUGUAAACUCCUGUCACAUGUUAUGAACCGCAUGGGUUACACCCAUGUCUGACAAAAGCAUGAGAGGAAGUCACGGCUAACUUCGUGCCAGCAGCCGCGGUAAGACGAAGGUGGCUAGCGUUAUUCGGAUUUACUGGGCAUAAAGCGCGCGUAGGCGGCUCGACAAGUCGGAGGUGAAAGCCUGCAGCUCAACUGCGGUGUGCCUCCGAAACUGUCGAGCUU
rnacentral:rRNA from 1 species